GUCUUGUCUGUGAUGUACUUAAACACAAAUGUCUGAACAAAUGAGAUCCUGUGAUUCUUCCUACUUUACUGAGACAAGAC
ensembl:snoRNA small nucleolar RNA SNORD72